rnacentral:lncRNA from 1 species
AUAUUCAUUGUUUGUGUUGUGUUUGAUGUUGGUUUCGGAUUAUGAGAUGUGAUUGGAAAAUCGAAGCAUGCACUAAUCAUGUGGCUUAAAAGGAAUUCGGGGCGCGAGUUAAAAAUUGUUAAAGUGAAUUAGGAUUAAUUUUGAUUUGUUGUUGUUUUUGAUUCGUCGUUAUUGUUACUUUCACGUCUAAUUAUCAAUUUCGUGAUAGUAUCAUGGUAAGUCAAGUGGGUAGGCAAUCGUAGGUUCGGGUAGGCAAAAUUUAGAAAUAAGUGUCUCGUUGGAUGUUUGCAUGUGGAGUCUGUGUUGAAUGUUUUUCUACUUUAUCGCCUGCGAUUCAAAUGUAUUCAUUUAGCUGGGGAAUGCCCCGAGGUCUUCUG